CCUAAUAGCAGUUUCCAUGACUGCUACCAUAGUGUUAACAACACUGUCAUUUCAACGUUCUGCUAGAUACUGGACAGCUGCAGAUUGUGUAUCUGCAUCUGGACACACCCGCAUGUUGAUGUGAGCUCCGUGGGCCAACAGCAGCUCCUGACACAGCGCCCCCUGGCGUGAGGAGGAGGCAAAGUGGAGAGCAGAAAAACCCCUCUCAUUCACCUGAAGCAAGUGCAGGAGAGAGCAAUCAACAGAGUGGGGCUAUAAACACAUGUCAUGUGACUGCAAUAGGCCUGGGCCAGUGUUGCUGACUCCAGGAAGACUCAGUGUGAUGACCCCAGCACUAUAGACCAACAGCAAGCACAGAGAGAAAAACAAAGAAUGUGAAAACAGAGUGGGUUGUAAACUGAGAAAAAUAUAUUCAGAAAGACAAAGGCCAGAGAGCGAAAGCGAUUGGAGGGGAAAAAAAGGAGAGAUAUCAGGUGUAGGUUAUGUCCUUAAACCAUAGGAUAGGAUAGUGUUGAAUGAACAGUUCAUGUUUCUUGCCCUGGCUGACAGCUAUAUAAGAUGGGGUAGCUGCCAGAAGGCACGCUCAGUCAGCCAAGUAAUCAAUAGGAACCCAGAUCAAUUGUAGCCUACGAGCUGACUCCGGCUCUCCUUGGUGUUUUUUUUAUAUUUCAACGUUGUGUGUGUGAAGCUUAAGAGUCACAGAAUAUUACACAGGGAUCGCAGAACACAAACAUACUACACUGGGAAUAAAUCGUGGGAAACAGCAAGAAGUGUGUGUGACUCACCUGAAUGUUGACAUCCUCUUUCUUGAAUAUGAGGGAGCGGACUUCAUCUGGGUCCACGUUG